GGUCCCAUGGUCUAGUGGUCAGGAGUCAGGACAUUGGACUCUGAAUCCAGUAACCCGAGUGUUCAAAUCUCGGUGGGACCU